ACACACACACACACACACACACACACACACACACACACACACACACACACACACACACACACACACACACACACACACACACACACACACACACACACACACACAAAGAUACACACACUCUCCCCACUGUUUCUCUCACACAGACACACACACACACAUACACUCUCUCUCUCUCUCUCUCUCUCUCUCUCUCUCUCUCUCUCUCUCUCUCUCUCUCUCUCUCUCUCUCUCUCUCUCACACAAACACACACAUUCAUACACACACUUUAUCUCUUAUUCUCACUAACACACUCAUCGUUAUAUAUUGUGUUAAACAUUAGCGAUGGAAAACACAGCGAUACAACCAGCACCAGAUCCAGAGCGAUUGUCAUGUAAUCAUUUUCUUUGUAUUAAUAUUUCUUAUUUGCAAUGCACUUCUUUUUAAUUUCGCCUCUCCUGGUUGUGUUUUAUAUCUCCACCAACAGGGGGCAGUGGAGAGCCCGCUAACCUCCUCCUGUGUUCCUCAAAGCAGCCCGAGUCUGAGCACAGUGCUGUGGGCGUACAGCCGCCUGAUCACCGGCAAACUGGAGUGGCUGGUGGUGACUCUGGAGGACAGGUGCACCCCUUCGGUAUGAAAGAAGACCACCUUGGAAGUGUGAAUUAUACGAACCAAUUAGCAUAAGGAACAACGUUUUCAUACAUAGGCUACUGCUAGACAUGCACAGUAUACACAGACUGCGUGCAAUUAUAAAGCACAUAAAAGCUAUUCUGAAGGGCAGAUUUGGGCGUCUUUGUCAAGCGUCGAAGUAUGUUCCUCCCCCCUGCUAGAGAGUAUAGCAAACUGCAGCUUCCCUCGUGUCAAGGUGUCACAUCAGUUGGUUGAUGUCGACCUAAGUAUUUCCGUUGUGAAAGGAAAUAUGUCCCAGUUGUAGGCCUCUUUAUCAGACACUUAAAUCCAUACACUGUAUGGAAGGGUUACAUAGGUUUAGAAACAUGCUUAAAUCCCCAAUAACUGUAUUAGCCAUGACUAGAUUAGACCUAAGACCGUAUUGAUUGUGAGAACUCCCAUUAAGUCACCCUGUCCCCUUAAAAAGCAAGGUUUGGGGCGUUUAUUCAUUUUGCACUAUUUUUUGUAUCUGUUUACAUUUAUAUAUUCUAUUACUCGCCCGAAUGGUUGUUAAACAAGGGCAUUCUUGUUUGCUGUGUGAGGUAUCAUUAUUAUAUUAUUUUAUAUUAUUAUGUUAUUUACUUAUAUAACACUUUGCUUGUGCCUAGAGGCAACCAAAUCUUUCUAACUUUUUGUAUUAAGGUCCCUUCUGCAAAUUAUAAUAAACAUGUCAAAAGCAUGCAAUAACAUUG
ensembl:lncRNA